rnacentral:rRNA from 1 species
AUUGAACGCUGGCGGCAGGCCUAACACAUGCAAGUCGAGCGAGCGGCGGACGUGAUGCCAAGGUAUGUGCAUGUGCCUGAUGGAGGGGGAUAAGUACUGGAAACGAUUGCUAAUACCGCACACCUUCGGCUGAACCCAUGUGGGAUUAGCUUGUAGGUGAGGUAACGGCUCACAUAGGCGACGAUCCCUAGCUGGUCUGAGAGGAUGAUCAGCCACACUGGAACUGAAACACGGCCCAGACUCCUACGGGAGGCAGCAGUGGGGAAUAUUGCACAAUGGGCGAAAGCCUGAUGCAGCCAUGCCGCGUGUAUGAAGAAGGCCUUCGGGUUGUAAAGUACUUUCAGUCGGGAGGCGUUACCGACAGAAGAAGCACCGGCUAACUCCGUGCCAGCCGCCGCGGUAAUUC